rnacentral:piRNA from 1 species
UGCUGAGAGACAGGAGCUUGUUUUAUUGC